ACAUGAAGAUGACAGCCACAUGUUUACUCCUCCCAGAUGUUUUUGGGGAUGAUCCCAGCCUUUUUGUCAUCAUGAAUGAACAGGUGCAAGUGUCCACACCUGUGUUGGAAGUUAAAAACCCUUUCAACAUGGAGGUCUGCGAAUUUUCUUUAUAUUUAGAAAGGGAGAGGCUCACAAAGGUGGACGACUGUGUUACAGCCUUGGCUGCGCUAGUAGCUGCCUUUCAUGUAUUUAGGAUUGAGUGUCCAAGAAGACUGUCCCAAACUUUCAACUUCCUAGAAACGCUGAUUUUCGAUAUGCACAGUCCUUAUUUUCCUUCUUUGAAAGAAAAGGAAAACGAAGUAGGAUUUCAGCACCCACUCACUUAAUAGCAUGCCAAAUAUUGUACUGGAAUUUACCUCUGGGAAAACUGAAGCUUCAUAAGAAAUUGUUUUGAUUUAGGGUUGUGGUAGAGGGGAUCUGCCUUGCCCCAGGAGAUCUGGUUGUCUUUAAUCGCUUGUUGAGAAUAAGGGCUGCGGCAUUUUUGAGGUCUCCUCAUUGCUGGCUGAUCUUGCUGGUACAGGUCCUGAUGUCUGUGACCUGUGUUCAUCUGCUACUGCUUCUCGCCUUGGAAACACAGUGACUCAUCCUGCAUGCCCAACUGGCUACUGCCCAGAGUCCAGUUCUAUCUGUUCUGCUCUUAACAAUGGCUGCAUAAGUACUUUUUGGGUCUAACAAGACUCAGUGCACUCUCCCUCUUUCCAACUAUUUCACAAGGUAUACAUCCCUAUGGCUGAAGUUGAAUGACAGCCUCUCUCAGGCCAUGACAGGAUGACAAGGUGAGCUACAAGGAAACUGCAGUGAAGUUUGGCUCCAAGCAUGACACAGACAUGGGCUGACCUUGAAGAAAAAAAAAGACUAAACGCUACCUACGCUCAAUGUUCCACACCUCUUAAGCCAGUAAUCCUGUAUCUGGUGUCGGGCAGCAAAGAAAAUAAAAUAUACCUCGUCUGUGCUCCAUUUGGAAACUUUACUGGCAGGGAUUCCUGCGACAGUUGGAA
rnacentral:lncRNA from 1 species